AUCGCCUCUUGCAAAACGAACGAAUAAGAGGUCCCGCCUGCCCUGUGACUAUAUGUUUAACGGCCGCGGUAUUUUGACCGUGCGAAGGUAGCGCAAUCACUUGUCUUUUAAAUGGAGACCUGUAUGAAAGGCAUCACGAGGGCUUAGCUGUCUCCCCUUUAAAGUCAAUGAAAUUGAUCUCCCCGUGCAGAAGCGGGGAUAUGCUCGUAAGACGAGAAGACCCUAUGGAGCUUAAGAUAAAAGGCGAGUCAUGUCAAACACCCCUUCAAAGGAAGUUGAACGAAAUGAUACCCGCUGGAAUGUCUUCGGUUGGGGCGACCGCGGGGAAAGACAAAACCCCCACAUGGACCAGGGCCACUAUAGCCCUAAAACCUAGACCCACAGGUCAAGUCAACAGUAAAUCUGACUACCAAAGAGCCGGCAAUGCCGAUCAACGGACCGAGUUACCCUAGGGAUAACAGCGCAAUCCCCUCCCAGAGCCCUUAUCGACGAGGGGGUUUACGACCUCGAUGUUGGAUCAGGACAUCCUAAUGGUGCAGCCGCUAUUAAGGGUUCGUUUGUUCAACGAUUAAAGUCCUACGCGAUCUGAGUUCAGACCGGAGUAA
rnacentral:rRNA from 1 species